GGGUGCAAUCAUACCAGCACUAAUGCACCGGAUCCCAUCAGAACUCCGCAGGCAAACAUGUUUGGGCGAGAGUAGUACUAGGAUGGGUGAUCUCCUGGGAGGUCCUCGUGUUGCACCCU
rfam:Populus trichocarpa scaffold_17_contig_305, whole genome shotgun sequence.